rnacentral:ncRNA from 1 species
UUCUUUGGGGCAGGGUGUGAUUCCCUACCGGUGGUAACAGUCCACGAGCGCGGAUUUUCGCGCAUGAUCAGGUGCAAUUCCUGAACCGACGGUAUAGUCCGGAUGAGAAAAGA